GACCGUGUAGCUCAGUAAGUAGAGCGUCGAUCUAGUAAUUCGAAGGUCGCGGGUUCGAGACCCAGCCGCCGCAGACA